CUUUCUUUGCUGGCGACCGGCGCACGGGUGAGUAACACGUAUCCAACCUGCCCUUUACUCGGGGAUAGCCUUUCGAAAGAAAGAUUAAUACCCGAUAGCAUAAUGAUUCCGCAUGGUUUCAUUAUUAAAGGAUUCCGGUAAAGGAUGGGGAUGCGUUCCAUUAAGUUGUUGGUGAGGUAACGGCCCACCAAGCCUUCGAUGGAUAGGGGUUCUGAGAGGAAGGUCCUCCACAUUGGAACUGAGACACGGUCCAA
rnacentral:rRNA from 1 species